UACGGGGGGGGCAAGCGUUGUUCGGAAUUACUGGGCGGAAAGGGCUCGUAGGUGGCCAACUAAGUCAGACGUGAAAUCCCUCGGCUUAACCGGGGAACUGCGUCUGAUACUGGAUGGCUUGAGUUUGGGAGAGGGACGCGGAAUUCCAGGUGUAGCGGUGAAAUGCGUAGAUAUCUGGAGGAACACCGGUGGCGAAGGCGGCAUCCUGGACCAACACUGACACUGAGGAGCGAAAGCCAGGGGAGCAAACGGG
rnacentral:rRNA from 1 species